AAAUUAUUUUAAUAUAAAUUAAUUAGACGACUGAGUUAAAAAGUUGUACUCUAGUUCAUGAAUCUGGUCUCUUUUUUGUUACGAUGUUUGCCAUGUCAGCAUCAGAAUACAACGAGUUUCAAUUCUUUUUAAAAUAUAAAAUAUUUUUUUUAUUAUAUAUUUUAUAAAAAACCACGAUAUUAAACUAUCUUAGGAGCAAUAAAUGAAUGCAAAAAUGAAGUUUACAAAUUAUAAAACAUUUACUAUCCGUCCUAUGAUGUUAAAAAUUAAAUUUGCGUAGUGGGUAGGACCGUAUGAAGAUCAUGAGCUAGGAACGUUUUGCUUCUAAAGGUACGACGAAAUGUUCUAAGAUUUGGUUUUCGUGUUCAAUAGAUUUUCAUUAAGAAAAGAAAUGUUUAAUGGAAC